UACGUAGGGUGCGAGCGUUGUCCGGAAUUAUUGGCGUAAGGGCUCGUAGGCGGUUUGUCGCGUCGGGAGUGAAACACCGGGCUUAACUCGGUGCUUGCUUUCGAUACGGGCAGACUAGAGGUAUGCAGGGGAGAACGGAAUUCCUGGUGUAGCGGUGUAAAUGCGCAGAUAUCAGGAGGAACACCGGUGGCGAAGGCGGUCUCUGGCA
rnacentral:rRNA from 1 species